AUUGAACGCUGGCGGCAUGCUUUACACAUGCAAGUCGAACGGUAACAGGCCUUCGGGUGCUGACGAGUGGCGAACGGGUGAGUAAUGCAUCGGAACGUACCCAGAGGUGGGGGAUAACGCAGCGAAAGCUGUGCUAAUACCGCAUGUGAUCUGAGGAUGAAAGCGGGGGACCGAGCAGCAAUGUUUGGCCUCGCGCCUUUGGAGCGGCCGAUUUCGGAUUAGCUAGUUGGUGGGGUAAAGGCCUACCAAGGCGACGAUCCGUAGCUGGUCUGAGAGGACGACCAGCCACACUGGGACUGAGACACGGCCCAGACUCCUACGGGAGGCAGCAAUGGGGAAUUUUGGACAAUGGGCGCAAGCCUGAUCCAGCAAUGCCGCGUGCGGGAAGAAGGCCUUCGGGUUGUAAACCGCUUUUGGCAGGAACGAAACGGUGUCCGCUAAUACCGGGCGCUAAUGACGGUACCUGCAGAAUAAGCACCGGCUAACUACGUG
rnacentral:rRNA from 1 species